GAUGAAGAACGCAGCGAAAUGCGAUACUUGGUGUGAAUUGCAGAAUCCCGUGAACCAUCGAGUCUUUGAACGCAAGUUGCGCCCGAAGCCAUUAGGCCGAGGGCACGCCUGCCUGGGUGUCACACACCGUUACCCUCGCGCCAACGUCCAUCGUUGGCCGCGGCGCGGGGCGUGCGCUGACCUCCCGCGAGCGGGGUCUCGUGGUUGGUUGAAAAUCGAGUUCGCGGUCGAGGGUGCCGUGAUGAAAUGGUGGAUGGGCGACGCCCGAGGCCAAUCACGCGCGACUCUGUCCGGCUCGUACUCCUGGACCCCUUCGGCGUCUCCGGACGCUCUUUGGCGAGACCUCAGGUCAGGCGGGGCUACCCGCUGAGUUUAAGCAUAUCAAUAAGCGGAGGA
rnacentral:misc_RNA from 1 species